rnacentral:rRNA from 1 species
ACACUGACGACAUGGUUCUACUGCCUGUUUAUCAAAAACAUAGCCUAAGACAUUUACCUUAGGUACCGCCUGCCCAAUGAUUAUUAAAUGGCCGCAGUAUCCUGACUGUGCUAAGGUAGCAUAAUCACUUGUCUUCUAAUUAAAGGCUGGAAUGAAUGGUACGACGAGAGAAGAGUCUUUUACUUAAAUUAAAUUUUAAAAACUUAUCUUAGAAGUACAAAAGUACUUUUAAAAGUUAGGGGGACACAAGACCCUAAUAAACUUUAUCCCCUUUUAAACUUAAGAUUAAGUGAAAACCUCUUGAUUAAGGGAUUCUGCUGGGGCGGACUAAACUUUAACCUAACAUAAUUUAACCUAACUAUACCAAAGUAACUUUACGUGCCUUUAUAAAGAACAAGAACUAAGUUACUUUAGGGAUAACAGCGUUAUACCUUUUUAGUAGCCCCUAUCGCCAAAGGUGUUUACGACCUCGAUGUUGAAUUGAAGUACCUGGUUUAAGCAGCAUUAAACCAAGGAAGUCUGUUCGACUUUUAAUUUUUCACAUGAUUUGAGUUCAGACCGGCGUGAGCCAGGUUGGUUUCUAUCUAGACCAAGUCUCUGCUACCGUA